rnacentral:ncRNA from 1 species
UCGGCUCCGGUUCACGUCCUCGCUAUCUGCGCGGGCGACCCGGCGGCC